rnacentral:lncRNA from 1 species
UGCAUUACCAAGUGCCUUCCCCAACUGCUGCAAAGAAUUUUACUUUCAAGGCACUCAUCCGAAUAGUUGAAGGUUCUGGGGACUGAGACCACUACUACUGCAAAUGCUGCAGAUGCAGCAGUGUCGUAGAUUCAGAAUAGCCCGAGUAGCUUCGUUCUGACCCGUGGACCAAACUUCAGAGACGUCUAGCCUGUAGACGAGGCCCUAGACAGAUAGAUCUGAGAGGUGAUGCGGUUGGAACAGGAGCUCAAAGAGCUGAACGAUGAGGGAGCACCAGCUCCUCAUGGAACUCAAGGAAGUACCCCAAGGAAACGACAUUCGCCGUCACGCACUCGACACUGAUGCCGGCAAGGUGACUGCCGCACUGGCCACUGCAGCGGCCAGUCAUGGCUGCACUGCCCACCAGGCUGUCGGCAUCAUGGUGGAGCGGACUUGGCCGAAGCCUCCUAGAACAAGUUGAGGCCAACGCAUCCUUUCCGUGAUGCCACACACCUUAACCUGAGUGAGCCACACCUCACGGGAAAUCGUCCACUGGCCGUGCAGGUCCUACUCAUUUCUAUGAACUAGAUGCAUGCAGGAUUACCUCACAGGAGCUGCAGUAGUUGAACCCCUUUCUAAGAAGCACUGGUGUAACAGCCAACUGGGUGUAAGAGACAGCAGUGUGCUUAGAUAGAAAUAGGGGUUUAUCAGAAAAUUAGAAUGUGGUACCCUGCGUUCAACAGAAACCUCAUGUAAUGGACAGGAACUGUUCCCCGGUGUGUGUCUCUUAUAAAGGGGUUCGACUGCUUAUUUUUCACACAAUUGCUCAAGCAUAAAUUUAAGAGCACGAUAUGUUAACUAAGACAUGCUGUAAAAACUUUUAAUUAAUUUGUUCGAUGGCCAGUGUUAGAAGAGUGAUGGUGUCUCUUGAUUUCUUUGAUUAAGAAGCGAAAUCCAGUUGAACGAUAUGGUUCAUGCCAACUGCACCUUUUUUUUUUUUUUUGAAGUGAUUGUUCAAGCCACUGAACAUUGUUUCUUUGAGCAUCUUCAGUUUUCUCUGUAUCGCCACAACCUUUGCUGUUAACUUGUUGGUCUUUGUUUGAGUGUAGCUCAUCAUUAAGAUGUUGGUGGCUGCCCAUAGGAUAUGGUGAAGCAUAGUGUCUGGAUAGCGUCUUUUGGAACAUGUGUCCAAACCUUCAUUGUAAAUUAACAGAUGCUUUUAUCACACUGAGAAACAGCUGUCUUUGGUGGCAUGCUGUGUGGAAGCGAAGAGUGCUCUCUUUCGUGGUUAAUUUUUCUAGCGCAGUUUAUUUAUGCAUAACAGCACUAUAGUUGAACCCACUUAUAAUAGUAUUCAAGUGCCGCGAAAAUUCCAUUGUUAUAACUAGGGAUGGGCGAAUAGUGGAUUUGAUGUUCGAAGCGAAUAAUGAUUUGGUCGAAUAAUUUCGAAUCAGAAUAGUUCAUGUACAUCGCAUAUUAUAAAGAAAAAUUAGCAUUUUUAUCAUGGCCCGACUAAUUUACACAAUUUUUUUAAAGAAUUAGAACUCAUGUAGGCACAGCUUUUUGUGAAAUUGAAAAUUGUUAACAGUUGAA